ACCCGCUGAAUUUAAGCAUAUCAAUAAGCGGAGGAAAAGAAACCAACAGGGAUUGCCUUAGUAACGGCGAGUGAAGCGGCAAAAGCUCAAAUUUGAAAUCGGCCACCAGGUCGAGUUGUAAUUUGUAGAUUGUAUCUUGAGAGCGGAUUAAAGUCUGUUGGAACACAGCGCCUUAGAGGGUGACAGCCCCGUAAAAUCUAUUCUCAUUGUAAGAUACUUUCGAAGAGUCGAGUUGUUUGGGAAUGCAGCUCUAAGUGGGAGGUAAAUUCCUUCUAAAGCUAAAUAUUGACGAGAGACCGAUAGCGAACAAGUACUGUGAAGGAAAGAUGAAAAGCACUUUGAAAAGAGAGUGAAAAAGUACGUGAAAUUGUUAAAAGGGAAGGGUAUUGAAUCAGACUUGGUGCUGUUGUUCAACUGUGUUUCGGCAUAGUGUACUCAGCAGUACUAGGCCAAGGUGGGGUGUUUGGGAGUGAAAAAGAAGUUGGAACGUAACUCUUCGGAGUGUUAUAGCCUACUUUCAUAGCUCCUCAGGCGCCUCAGGACUGCGCUUCGGCAAGGACCUUGGCAUAAUGAUUCUAUACCGCCCGUCUUGAAACACGGACACAGGAG
rnacentral:rRNA from 1 species